GAGAACAAAGGAAGGAGGAAGUAACUGGUGGAAUGCUGAGAAAGCAUUUCAGUGUGCGGCAUCAUCAUGCAAGCUCUGUAAGAGGAGAGUAAGAUCAGUACUCCUACUUGUAAAUGAAAGAGAAGAAAACAAAAACAAGCAAAUUCCUUCUAAGGUGUGAGGAACACGAGUAAACAGAGAAAUCACCUAAGGAGAAAACAGGAAGCAGAUUUGAAACUGUGGCCACCAACGACACGAGGGAGCGCAAAACCCAGCCCACUUGCCAGGGAGGCUGGCAGAGCCCACACCCAGUCUGGUGCCCUGGUCGGUUACAUUCUGCUGUAAGUUAUUCCUGCCUUUAGCUCAUUCUAUCACAAAGCCCAAGCUCUCAAUGCCCGCAAAAUGAGCCAGCAACAGGAUUAUUCUCAUAGAAAAUGGACCAUUGACGGCUCAGUCGUUAAAGCCAAUUCAGACGAAUCAUGUCUUCUUCCAAGUGCACAACUAUCCCUAAUGUGUAACUAAUACAUAUUUGUGAAAUAACUUAUUACUGAAAAUUAGGUUUUAGUAAUUUGUAGUUAUCAAAAUAAAUUCAGUUUGAACAAAUGGAAUAUCAGACCAUAAAAAUUCAUAGGAUGUAAGAAAGAAAAUAGUAAGAAAGGCAGAUUUCUCAUAAAUAUUAUAAGUUUCAUGAUGGUUCUAUGCUUAUAGUUCUGAAAAUAUGUAAGCAAACAUCUUAAAGAUCAAUGAGAAAAAUGCCCUUUUGGAUAUAUUAGAGAACAAUUCAAGGAGAAAAAAAAUCACCAAUUCAAUGGUGAAUUUGAAUGGUGAAUAUUAUCACCAUUCAAAAAAACAGGGUAUCAUUAAUAUACAACCACAAUCCUAUUAAUAUCUACUAAUUGUGGGAAAACAUGAUUGGAAAUGGAAACAAAAAAUGCAAUAUGAGAUUGGUGGGAAAUUUAUGUUUUACCAUAGGAAAAAAUGUGAACGCAAAUUACGUUGUUCUUUCGGGAUGUACACUUCUCCCGCCUACGACCGAAUAGUGAAUAAGGUUCACAGGGAUUAUGUGAAUCCUGGGCAGGUCCUGAGCUACUCAGCAUUGAACAGCAUUCGAGGCCACUGCAGUGGAGCCACUCUCAUCAGUAACAGGUGUAUUCUCCCCUGGUUUUCAUCCUAAUACCAAGCAAGUGGGAUCUUGUAAGCAUGUGGUUUUUCUGCCCUUUCCUGGCAGUUGUCAGAUUUGUACUUACGUAGCAGCCAGGAGUACAUUAUUGUUUCCAAGGAAAGGAAAUGGCACAUCUCUUUGACAUUGCAAGAUCUGACCCACUGCUUUAAUUAGCAUUUUUACAGAAAAUAAUCUGAAAUGACAGGCAGUCUUUCCUACUUCCUUUCUGCAUUUCAGUUUUGAAGCAGCGUUCAAAAUCAGUUGUGGAUCAAGUCAAGAUGAACUCUGAAACAAUACUUUAAAUACCCCUGGAUGAUUUUGAAGCUCCCUGCAGCAUUUUUAGAAGGUACCAAAUAAGAAAAACGUGGAUGAAGAUGGAGAAAGCAUACAAAACUUUUACACACUGGUUUGAAGCUCACAAUUGGGUUUUCGCCAGGGCAAGCCGUUGUACAUUCCUUGAAGUCAGGUGCUCUGCUCAACAGAAGGUGUGCUGAAUAACGUUACAGGCUCUGUUCCCGGGAGACGUGGAAGGAAAAGUGAAAACACAAAACAACAGUAUUUAGAAGUGAAGAGUUAUUGACCAAAAUGCUCAUGGGGGAAAAAAACCAGAAAUGUUAACAAUGCAAGGACUUAGAGAAGCUGAAAAUAUUGCUUUUCUUCCUGAUGGCUUAUGUUUGAGGAACUGCCUCUUCUGGGAAGCCUUCCCUGGUUGCCUCAUUUAAGAGCAAACUUCUCCCUCCUCACCAUCACUAUUUCUCUUGCUCUGUUUAAUUUCCUCCCUCAUCCUCAUCAC
rnacentral:lncRNA from 1 species